UACGUAGGGUGCGAGCGUUGUCCGGAAUUAUUGGGCGUAAAGAGCUUGUAGGCGGUUUGUCGCGUCUGCCGUGAAAAUUCGAGGCUCAACCUCGAACUUGCGGUGGGUACGGGCAGACUAGAGUGUGGUAGGGGAGACUGGAAUUCCUGGUGUAGCGGUGAAUGCGCAGAUAUCAGGAGGAACACCGGUGGCGAAGGCGGGUCUCUGGGCCGAGUACUGACGCUGAGGAGCGAAAGCGUGGGGAGCGAACAGGAUUAGA
rnacentral:rRNA from 1 species